UACGUAGGGGGCGAGCGUUGUCCGGAUUUACUGGGCGUAAAGAGCGCGCAGGCGGUCGUACAAGUCGCGUGUGAAAGCCCCCGGCUCAACUGGGGAGGGUCACGCGAUACUGUUCGACUCGAAGGCAGGAGAGGGAAGCGGAAUUCCCGGUGUAGUGGUGAAAUGCGUAGAUAUCGGGAGGAACACCAGUGGCGAAGGCGGCUUCCUGGCCUGUUCUUGACGCUGAGGCGCGAAAGCUAGGGUAGCAAACGGG
rnacentral:rRNA from 1 species